rnacentral:rRNA from 1 species
UACGAAGGGAGCUAGCGUUGCUCGGAAUUACUGGGCGUAAAGCGCACGUAGGCGGCUUUCUAAGUCGGGGGUGAAAUCCUGGAGCUCAACUCCAGAACUGCCUUCGAUACUGGAGAGCUCGAGUCCGGGAGAGGUGAGUGGAACUGCGAGUGUAGAGGUGAAAUUCGUAGAUAUUCGCAAGAACACCAGUGGCGAAGGCGGCUCACUGGCCCGGUACUGACGCUGAGGUGCGAAAGCGUGGGAGCAA